GCAGUCGAGCGGACAGAUGGGAGCUUGCUCCCUGAUGUUAGCGGCGGACGGGUGAGUAACACGUGGGUAACCUGCCUGUAAGACUGGGAUAACUCCGGGAAACCGGGGCUAAUACCGGAUGGUUGUUUGAACCGCAUGGUUCAGACAUAAAAGGUGGCUUCGGCUACCACUUACAGAUGGACCCGCGGCGCAUUAGCUAGUUGGUGAGGUAACGGCUCACCAAGGCGACGAUGCGUAGCCGACCUGAGAGGGUGAUCGGCCACACUGGGACUGAGACACGGCCCAGACUCCUACGGGAGGCAGCAGUAGGGAAUCUUCCGCAAUGGACGAAAGUCUGACGGAGCAACGCCGCGUGAGUGAUGAAGGUUUUCGGAUCGUAAAGCUCUGUUGUUAGGGAAGAACAAGUGCCGUUCAAAUAGGGCGGCACCUUGACGGUACCUAACCAGAAAGCCACGGCUAACUACGUGCCAGCAGCCGCGGUAAUACGUAGGUGGCAAGCGUUGUCCGGAAUUAUUGGGCGUAAAGGGCUCGCAGGCGGUUUCUUAAGUCUGAUGUGAAAGCCCCCGGCUCAACCGGGGAGGGUCAUUGGAAACUGGGGAACUUGAGUGCAGAAGAGGAGAGUGGAAUUCCACGUGUAGCGGUGAAAUGCGUAGAGAUGUGGAGGAACACCAGUGGCGAAGGCGACUCUCUGGUCUGUAACUGACGCUGAGGAGCGAAAGCGUGGGGAGCGAACAGGAUUAGAUACCCUGGUAGUCCACGCCGUAAACGAUGAGUGCUAAGUGUUAGGGGGUUUCCGCCCCUUAGUGCUGCAGCUAACGCAUUAAGCACUCCGCCUGGGGAGUACGGUCGCAAGACUGAAACUCAAAG
rnacentral:rRNA from 1 species